rnacentral:rRNA from 1 species
ACAACAGUUGGAAACGACUGCUAAUACCGCAUACGAUCUAAUCUCGGCAUCGAGGAAAGAUGAAAGGUGGCCUCUAUUUAUAAGCUAUCACUGAAGGAGGGGAUUGCGUCUGAUUAGCUAGUUGGAGGGGUAACGGCCCACCAAGGCGAUGAUCAGUAGCCGGUCUGAGAGGAUGAACGGCCACAUUGGGACUGAGACACGGCCCAGACUCCUACGGGAGGCAGCAUG